CGAUGUGAGGGCGGGCAGUCUGGCUGCUACAUCUGUUACCCCACUGAUCACCUGGGUGGAUUCAGCUGAUCUGGCUGGCUAGGCGGGUGUCCCCUUCCUCCCUCACCGCUCCACGUGCAUCCCUCCCGAAGCUGCGCGCUCCUUCGAAGAGGACGACCAUCCCCAAUAGAGGAGGACCGUUCUUCUCGGUCAAGGGUGUAUGAGCAGCUGCGCUCCCCUGCUGGACCCUCCAAACAAGCUCUCAGAUUAAAUUACUUUCGCCAAAUCUAAAAAUCCCCUCAAAGCCAAUCUGUCAGUAGCAGGCCUGGUGCUGAUAUGUUU
rnacentral:snRNA from 1 species